rnacentral:SRP_RNA from 14 species
CCCGGGCAGAUGCCCUGCCAGCGCGGCGAGAGGCCCGCGUCGCUCAGCUGCUGGUAGUAACGGAAGUCGAGCUGCAGGUGCUGAAGCAGAUGGCAUAGCCGCAGGGCGGAAUGCAAGCAAUGCAAAGCCU